rnacentral:rRNA from 1 species
CAAUCAAGUGUCAAAAGGGCAUUCGGUGGAUGCCUUGGCGCUAAGAGGCGAUGAAGGACGUGGUACGCUGCGAUAAGUCUUGGGGAGCUGCGAACGAGCUUUGAUCCGAGAAUUUCCGAAUGGGGCAACCCACCUUCGA